rnacentral:pre_miRNA from 1 species
AUGUAGGGCAAUCCGUCUUUAAGUAGGGCUAAAUUACUCUAAAAAAAAGAAAGAAUCCUAGAAAGUUUUCCCUUCAAGUCAAGCUUCUUGU